CAGUAGCCACGGUAAUACGGAGGGCGCGAGCGUUACCCGGAUUUACUGGGCGUAAAGGGCGUGUAGGCGGCCUGGGGCGUCCCAUGUGAAAGGCCACGGCUCAACCGUGGAGGAGCGUGGGAUACGCUCAGGCUAGAGGGUGGGAGAGGGUGGUGGAAUUCCCAGAGUAGCGGUGAAAUGCGCAGAUACCGGGAGGAACGCCGAUGGCGAAGGCAGCCACCUGGUCCACUUCUGACGCUGAGGCGCGAAAGCGUGGGGAGCAAACCGGAUUAGAUACCCCUGUAGUCCCUGUCUCUUAUAC
rnacentral:rRNA from 1 species